GACGAACGCUGGCGGCGUGCUUAACACAUGCAAGUCGAACGGAAAGGCCCUGCUUUUGUGGGGUGCUCGUGUGGCGAACGGGUGAGUAACACGUGAGUACCCUGCCCCUGACUUUGGGAUAACUUCAGGAAACUGGGGCUAAUACCGGAUAGGAGCUCCUGCUGCAUGGUGGGGGUUGGUUUGUUUCGGUGGUUGGGGAUGGACUCGCGGCUUAUGAGUUUGUUGGUGGGGUAGUGGCUUACCAAGGCAUUGGCGGGUAGCCGAGCUGAGAGGGGGACCGGGCACGAGGGAACUGAGAUACGGCCCAGACCAGUACGGGAGAGAACAGUGGAGUAGAGUGCAAAGUGGGCGGGAGCCAAGUGGAGAAGCGCCGCGGGGGGUGAGUCAGCCUUCGGGGUGAGAUCCGCUUGCGCGUGAGACGGAGCGUGAGUGACGGUAACGGGAUAAGAAGCACCGGCUAACUACGUG
rnacentral:rRNA from 1 species